rnacentral:rRNA from 1 species
GGAUUGGGAGGGUUCUACGGAACCCGUUUGGUGAAUCUAGUGCCGAGAAAAGCCUUCUAUGUGUUGAAUUUCUAGUACCCGUACCCCAAACCGACACAGGUGGGUGGGUAGAGCAUACCUAGGGGCGCGUGAUAACUCUCUCUAAGGAACUCGGCAAAAUGGCCCUGUAACUUCGGGAUAAGGGGUGCCUGCGUGAGCAGGCCGCAGUGAAAUGGCUCUGGCGACUGUUUACCAAAAACACAGGUCUCUGCUAAGUCGUAAGACGAUGUAUAGGGGCUGACUCCUGCCCAGUGCCGGAAGGUUAAGGAAGUUGGUUAGCGCAAGCGAAGCUGGCGACCGAAGCCCCGGUGAACGGCGGCCGUAACAAUAACGGUCCUAAGGUAGCGAAAUUCCUUGUCGGGUAAGUUCCGACCCGCACGAAAGGAGUAACGAUCAGAGCGCUGUCUCGGAGAGAGACACGGCGAAAUAGGAUUGUCCGUGAAGAUACGGACUACCUGCACCCGGACAGAAAGACCCUAUGAAGCUUUACUGUAACUUGGAAUUGUGUUCGGACUUUGUCUGCGCAGAAUAGGUGGGAGGCUAUGAAACGUUCCUCGCGGGGAACUGGAGCCAUCGUUGAGAUACCACUCUGGCAGAGUCUGGAUUCUAACCUACGGGGACAGUUCCAGGUGGGCAGUUUGACUGGGGCGGUCGCCUCCUAAAAUGUAACGGAGGCGCGCAAAGGUUCCCUCAGGCUGGUUGGAAAUCAGCCAUAGAGUGUAAAAGCAUAAGGGAGCUUGACUGUGAGACCUACAAGUCGAGCAGGGACGAAAGUCGGCUUUAGUGAUCCGACGGCACUGAGUGGAAGGGCCGUCGCUCAACGGAUAAAAGUUACUCUAGGAUAACAGGCUGAUCUCCCCCAAGAGUUCACAUCGACGGGGAGGUUUGGCACCUCGAUGUCGGCUCGUCGCAACCUGGGGCGGUAGUACGUCCCAAGGGUUGGGCUGUUCGCCCAUUAAAGCGGCACGUGAGCUGGGUUCAGAACGUCGUGAGACAGUUCGGUCCAUAUCCGGUGUAGGCGUAGGAGCAUUGAAAGGACCUCUCCUUAGUACGAGAGGACCGGGAGGGACGUACCUCUGGUGUACCUGUUAUCGUGCCAACGGUAAACGCAGGGUAGCCAUGUACGGAGUGGAUAACCGCUGAAAGCAUCUAAGUGAGAAGCCCACCUUAAGAUGAGUGCUCCCUUGAGGCCACGGGAAGACGACCCGUUUGAUAGGCGCUAGGUGGAAGUGCAGUAAUGCAUGCAGCCGAGGCGUACUAAUAGGCCGAUGGCUUGUUC